rnacentral:lncRNA from 1 species
GAAGCCCUUAUAGUGGAUGUUGGCGACAGUUAGUCCGCUGUAGGAGUGGGGUGUGCAUCAAGAUAGGAUCUAUCGACCCUAGCAGAAGGGAGUAGUCCUGUGAGAUUUAAGAGGUUGAGUCCUUAAGUCUAUGAUCAUAGCAGUGUGAUUGAUGGAAAAAAAUUUUCAUAGAAUCAUAUAUGGACUUAAGCUGAUUAAAUCUAUUAUAUG